rnacentral:rRNA from 1 species
AUUGAACGCUGGCGGCAGGCUUAACACAUGCAAGUCGAGCGGGGGAAGGUAGCUUGCUACCGGACCUAGCGGCGGACGGGUGAGUAAUGCUUAGGAAUCUGCCUAUUAGUGGGGGACAACAUCUCGAAAGGGAUGCUAAUACCGCAUACGUCCUACGGGAGAAAGCAGGGGAUCUUCGGACCUUGCGCUAAUAGAUGAGCCUAAGUCGGCUUAGCUAGUUGGUGGGGUAAAGGCCUACCAAGGCGACGAUCUGUAGCGGGUGGGAGAGGAUGCUCCGCCGCAGUGGGACGCAGACACGGCCCAGACCCCUACGGGGCGCAGGAGUGGGGAAUAUUUGACCAGGGGGGGAACCCUGAUCCAGCCAGGCCGCGUGUGUGAAGAUGGCCUUAUGGUUGUAAAGCACUUUAAGCGAGGAGGAGGCUACUUUAGUUAAUACCUAGAGAUAGUGGACGUUACUCGCAGAAUAAGCACCGGCUAACUCUGUGCCAGCCGCCGCCGCUG